rnacentral:rRNA from 1 species
GAUGAACGCUAGCGGCAGGCUUAAUACAUGCAAGUCGAGGGGCAGCACAGUGUAACAAUACAUGGGCGGCGACCGGCAAACGGGUGCGGAACACGUACGCAACCUUCCUUUAAGUGGGGAAUAGCCCAGAGAAAUUUGGAUUAAUACCCCGUAAGAUGGUGGUCUGGCAUCAGACAGCCAUUAAAGCUGAGGCGCUUAAA